rnacentral:rRNA from 1 species
GAAAGUCUGACGGAGCAACGCCGCGUGAACGAUGAAGGUCUUCGGAUCGUAAAGUUCUGUUGUCAGGAAGAACAAGUACCGUUUGACAAGGCGGUACCUUGACGGUACCUGACGAGGAAGCCCCGGCUAACUCGUGCCAGCAGCCGCGGUAAUACGUAGGGGGCGAGCGUGUCCGGAAUUAUUGGCGUAAAGCGCGCGCAGGCGGUUCCUUAAGUCUGAUGUGAAAGCCCACGGCUUAACCGUGGAGGGUCAUUGGAAACUGGGGAACUUGAGUACAGAAGAGGAGAGCGGAAUUCCACGUGUAGCGGUGAAAUGCGUAGAUAUGUGGAGGAACACCGUAGUGGCGAAGGCGGCUCUCUGGUCUGUAACUGACGCUGAGGCGCGAAAGCGUGGGGAGCGAACAGGAUUAGAUACCCUGGUAGUCCACGCCGUAAACGAUGAGUGCUAGGUGUUAGGGGGUUUCCGCCCCUUAGUGCUGAAGUUAACGCAUUAAGCAUCCGCCUG